rnacentral:rRNA from 1 species
UACGGGGGGGGCUAGCGUUGUUCGGAAUUACUGGGCGUAAAGCGCACGUAGGCGGCUUUGCAAGUUAGAGGUGAAAGCCCGGGGCUCAACCCCGGAAUUGCCUUUAAAACUGCAUCGCUAGAAUGGUGGAGAGGUAAGUGGAAUUCCGAGUGUAGAGGUGAAAUUCGUAGAUAUUCGGAAGAACACCAGUGGCGAAGGCGACUUACUGGACUCAUAUUGACGCUGAGGUGCGAAAGCGUGGGGAGCAAACAGG